rnacentral:rRNA from 1 species
GGAUGAACGCUGACAGAAUGCUUAACCCAUGCAAGUCUUUGGCGAAUCUGUGCUUGCACCGGCUAGCCAAGGCGGACGGGUGAGUAACGCGUAAAGAACUUGCCCUGCAGACAGGGAUAACAGACGGAAACGACUGAUAACACCUGAUACAGUUGCCGGCACGCAUGUGCCUGGCAAUGAAAAGAGAUGCUGCAGGAGAGCUUUGCGUCCUAUUAGCUUGUUGGUGAGGUGACGGCUCACCAAGGCGAUGAUAGGUAGCCGGCCUGAGAGGGUGAACGGCCACAAGGGGACUGAGAUACGGCCCUUACUCCUACGGGAGGCAGCAGUGGGGAAUAUUGGACAAUGGGGGCAACCCUGAUCCAGCAAUUCUGUGUGCACGAAGAAGGUUUUCGGAUUGUAAAGUGCUUUCAGCAGGGAAGAAGAAAGUGACGGUACCUGCAGAAGAAGCGACGGCUAAAUACGUG